rnacentral:rRNA from 1 species
UACGUAGGUGGCAAGCGUUGUCCGGAUUUACUGGGCGUAAAGAGCGCGCAGGCGGUCGGAUAAGUCGAAUGUGAAAGCCCCCGGCUCAACUGGGGAGGGUCAUUCGAUACUGUUCGACUCGAAGGCAGGAGAGGGAAGUGGAAUUCCCGGUGUAGUGGUGAAAUGCGUAGAUAUCGAGAGGAACACCAGUGGCGAAGGCGAGUCUCUGGACGACUCCUGACACUGAGGCACGAAAGCCAGGGGAGCAAACAGG